GAUGAAGAACGCAGCGAAAUGCGACAAGUAAUGUGAAUUGCAGAAUUCCGUGAAUCAUCGAAUCUUUGAACGCACAUUGCGCCCUCUGGUAUUCCGGGGGGCAUGCCUGUCCGAGCGUCAUUACAACCCUCAAGCUCAGCUUGGUGUUGGGCCCCGCCGCCCCGGCGGGCCCUAAAGUCAGUGGCGGUGCCGUCCGGCUCCGAGCGUAGUAAUUCUUCUCGCUCUGGAGGUCCGGUCGUGUGCUCGCCAGCAACCCCCAAUUUUUUUCAGGUUGACCUCGGAUCAGGUAGGGAUACCCGCUGAACUUAAGCAUAUCAAUAAGCGGAGGA
rnacentral:misc_RNA from 1 species